GUAAUCACAUCUACUGUUUUCUAUUGGUGCAUAGAGUCCUUGUUUUACUUCUUCUAGCACCAUGAGAAAGCAGUAUUUGUGAGAC